ensembl:lncRNA
UGAGGUUGCCAGGUGCUCCUUGUGAAGGUUUUUGUAAACGCGUUUACCACCCACAGUUUAAAACCAGUUAUUUAUUUGCUUGCUUAAUACCAUUUCCAAUGGUAUAUAUCCAGUAUUUCCAAACAGCUGAUCUAUUAGCUAAAUAUUUAUAAAUAAAAUAAUACAAUGGCAGAUUCUCCCAAGAGAGUCAGCACUCCCCUUUCCUGCAUAUAAACAAAGUCCUGCCAACCCAUGUGAGAUGCUUCCCUGCCCGUUCUGGCAGUGAAAGGACACUGAUGUCUCCUUGUUUCUUUACAUAAGUCUGUAGGAUGGGUGAUGGUUCAACUUUUACAAAGGAAUAAUUUUCAUUGUCUGAAAGGCUUUUGACUUUGGGUGCAGUGACUCUCUUUCAAUUCCUUUUAUUACCAUAAAAAUAUAAAACUGAAAGUGAAGUCACCUAGCCCUUGCCUUCUCUUUUUUUAAUCUAAAAGAAUCCCAGUUCAUAAAGUCUUUCUUCAGAGCCCGUGCUUUCUAGACCUCUGAGUGGUCCCUAUCAUCUCUCACAUCUGUGCUCCUAAAGCCAUUUUCAGUUUCACCAUCUUACUGAGAAGCAGUUGAUUCCAAAGCAAAAUUAAGUUUAUUAUUUAACUUCUCUUUCCCUUACUAUUUUUUUUUUCAGUCCAAUAGUAGCAAAUCUGACUACAGUAAAGCUUUCCUAGUCACAGUGUUAAGCCUGCUCCCUUUUUACGCAUAGGCAUAAUUUACUAGCGCAUAGUUGAGUAACACAUUUUAGCAUUCAUAAACACUGAUUAUUUCUUUCAUGAAUCACCUCAAACUACAUUUCUCAUGAUUUUAACAUGCACUCCUUUGUUGUGGUCUGGAAUUUCCUUGAUAUAAAGCACUUUGCAAAGUGAUAUUUCUGUGUUACCACAUGCACUGAAGAUGAAGAAAAUGAGUAAUAUAACUUUUACCACAGAAUAACUAAGGUAAAUCUUUUCUUAUGACUGGUUUAAGGGAGUAAUGCACUAAAUCAGUACAUUUUUAUUAUUUUCAUGACAUUAAUAUGGUAAUCAGCUCUGGAAUCACCAUAAACAUCCUAAAACAUAGGCACAAAUUAGGACAUCAUGAUGGAAUGUGAUCAUUUCUAUGCAAAUGAUUUUCAGUUCUUCCUAUUGUUUGUUUUUUUGUUUUAUUUUCUUUCAACAUUACCUUGAGAUGUUUUCAAAGGACACUUGUUAAAAAUACUCAUUAUUUAAUUAUUCCACAGACUUCUUGUUUUAGUGAGCACUUAAAUCUACUGUCCUGCAAACAAAGGGCUGGGCUUGGUGUCAGCUGUAGCGUUAAGCAGAAAUGAAGUCAAUAAAUGUCGGUAAAGAACUCAACAAAAGUUGUAAUUUCCUUACAAUUCUCUACAUCACUCUUUAGAUGAAAUGUAUCGCUUCUUUACUGUUGACCUCCCUAAUUCUGAAAUACAAACUAUACAACUACAGGUGGCAAGAGAAUGUCCCAAACUACUUUAGAAAUGUAAUCCACAUUGAGGUCAGUAACAUUCUGGCGUCUUCCCAGUCCUAAAUGAUCUCUUCAAGAAAGGGAUGUUUCAACAAGAGCAACAAAGUACAAGCAUAGACAUUGAGAACCCCUCAUGCUGCAUAACAGCAGGAAGGAACACUAAUAGCAGAUUUUCCUGUUCAUUUUCAAAAGCUAAUGAUGUUCUGUAACUAUAAGUAGUGAAACCAGGGUACUGUCUUCCAAAAUGACAGUACAGCACCUCAUUCUUCUGGUUUUCAUCUUGGGAUCUCAGUUCCUCUGUACAUCAGUGUGCUAAUUGCACAUGGAGCUAAUAUCUGCCUCAGGUUCAGAACUGAUGUUAGCAAUUAGCACCUAGUCAGCCAGUGAAUGUAGGAUUCACUUUAACUUGUCCUGGACAUUAGUUGAAAGAAAAGAAAACAUAAGUGGAACUACAGAUAAGUGAAACACCUGGACAUAAAAAGUCUGUGGGGACAAAUGCCACUUCUGGAAAUGGUUCUUCCACAGAGCAGCACAUAUUCAAGACCAUGCAGAAGUCCACACCACUACCAGAUACUCUUCUCAUUCUUUGUUUGCUGAAAUAAUUUUGUCUCAAAGGCUUUGAAAGAUUUUCAUCUUCAUUUUUAAUCAAAAGAGCAUCACAGUGUAUUUCAUAAAUAGCAGAAACAAUAUUUUCCAUAAUCACUGUGGAAGGUUUAUCAUGUCACUCUUCUUCAAAGUCACCUUUUUAAGCAGAAAAGCAAAUUAUUGAGCUACUUUGUCCCUUAAAUUAGCUUAAAAAGAAAAAUGGGUAGCAACUCCUAUAGAGAAAGAUCCAGAAAUUCCCAGUGAUUAUUUUAUUACACUUUACAAAAAUGCCAAAGGUUUUGUGCUGUACAGCGUGAAAAACACCACAUUUUCUAAUGGAAAAAAAAAAAAAAAAAAAAAAAAGCCACUCUGAAGAAUCCUUCUAAUUAAAUUACUCCUGGAAGUCAGAAUAAUUUUGCUGUUUGUACAGCGGGUUUUCAACUCUGGGAGGUCUGUUCAUUUUCCUUAGAUUAAAAGGAGUGAACUUGUUAUGAACUUCUUCCCAAUAGAAGAAGAAAAACUAGCAAGGUGGGAUGUUAAAAAUGCAAACGACUGGUUUUACAAUGGAAACUGCAUCUUCUGGAGGAAAUUUUUUCUAUUCCAUGCUGAUUUUCUGCUGUUUCCAAGAACACCAUCUUAUGGAAUUAGGAUUGUGGUAUCUAACACAACAGUGUAUUAGGUAUGGCUAUUGAACAUGGGUACCUGUUUUCUUUGGGUUUGCAACCAACACUGAGUUUUAAGUAAUAGCAGAAAAUAUCCACUUUCAGUGUAGUUAUCAAGAAAUUUUUUUAAACAAAGUACUGCUAUAAUCAAACUGUUCCUUUCUAAACACUAGAGAAUAAACGUUCAGCACAAGGGUCUUUGCAACCACAACCACAGAGGAAAGUUGACACUUAUCUGUUCCUGAUUCACUGAACCCGUAUGCCUGCAUCUGCUGCAUCUGCAUUUUCAGAAGCAGUAGCAUGGAAUAACACCUGGCUUGAUCAUGUGGUUCAGAAUUACACUACAAGGAGAAAAACAAGACAACAAACCAUAAAAAAACCACAUGUAAUUCAGAAGACGCUUCAUCUAUCUUCAGAAAGUGAAGUGCUACAAGCAUUCAGUUACUCAGAGUCCUAAAGACUGCCCAUCACGACAUGGAGCCUUGUUUGGUAAAGAUCCUGUGCUCCCACCUCAGCACUGGCCAAACUCCUUUCGGAUACAAAAAGAGUCACACGUUUUCUGUGUUAUUGGGAAAUAACCCAAGAGAAAUUAUAAACAAUGUAAUCCGAGAAGUUGGUUUUAUGCUUUUGCAAAGGCUUUGAUAGGUCCUGUUGGCUCACGCCAACGUUUUGAAAAUAGUUCCACAUAUUUUACUGGUAGCAAUGUUUCCCCAUCGUUCUGAAAUCCCAGCAUGGGACCAUUAAAGCAAAUGUCCUUUUCAAGGCAUAAAACAGAGCAGAGCAACCAGAAAUUGGGUACAAAAGAUGGGAAGAUGACGAACUGCAAUUUCAACCUCUGAGAACGAUCAGAGAUGGAGACCUCCAUUCUGGGGUUUUAGCAUCUUCAGCAUGGCAUUUCUCUAUGACUGAUUCUAUGAUUCUAUGAUUUUUCUUACACUGGCUAACACAAGAAAUCACUAUUUUGAACCACUGUUAAGUUACCUGCUUAAAAUAUCAUACGCCUUUGCAGAGAGAAACAAACAGUAAGUUAAAGAGCCCAGGCGGCUGGAGUUCUGGAAAGGAACGUGUGCACACAAUAUGGGUAUCUCAUAGAUGAAGAUGACUGACUUGGGUCUGAGAGCAAAGUGGCAUUUUCUGGAUUUUAGACCCAGAAAAUCCCAUUACAGUUCAGAUGACUAAGGCUCCAAUUCCGAGAAAAGGAUAUUUAAAUGAAAUCCAAACCAGCUCUAUAAGAAGAUACUUAAAUUGCUACUUAUUAUGCAAAAACUUAACAAUUUGUUAAACCUGUAUCCAAUUAAAUUGAAAUAAAUUUCAGAAUACAUUUAAAUGCUUUUCUAAAUUGGAACUUUAAAACCUUUUCCUGGAAACUGAUAAGGAAUAUCUACAACAGUUGAGACUUACUGUAGCAGUUUCCAUAUUUCACUCUGGUCACACUUCCACACAGUCACUAGAAAGUCGUAGCGCAGACUUUGUCUACUUUCAAAAAUUAAUGCUCUCUGUGGGAGCUUUGUUAAUAGUCAGAACUUAAUUGCUUUACAAUGCUCUCCAAUCAAGACCAUUUCUAGCAACUCACUGGGUUAUAGUACUAACAAACCAUUCACCCCAGCAGCGAGAGUGAUUGCCCAAAACUGUUACACAGAAAUAGGCAGGGUUUCCCUCCAACAGUCUGAACCGUGGGCUUUGUUUGUGCUUCUACUGCACGUCACCACUGUGCAUGAGAAAAACUAAAGUAAAUCAACAUUUUUACUUCUUUGGAUUUCUGAAUUUAACUACUGCUUCAUUUUACUUGCCCCUGUCAGAUUUGUUCUGCUCAGCAGUUGACAGUUGACUCAAUUCUGGCCCAUUUGAAGGGGACGUUUUUAACCACCUGAAUGAACAAAAACAAACUAGACCUUUUACUUUCUUUCUGUGAAUAGCCAGAACUUUUGAAAUCAGUCUGCCUGGGUUCUACAUAGUGGAAUACUUGAAAAAUCUGACCUACAUCUAAACACAGUGACUAAGAAACCUUUAUUGACUUCAGUGAGUGGCCUUUGAAUCAGGGUCUACAAGAAACUGUGGCUUUGUGUUUUAAGACAAAUAAGAAAACAGAAUUUAAAGGGACACAUUGUUUCAAACAGACUCAUUCAAUUCCUUAGCAACAAUUUAAGAAGUCACAAGGGAAAUGAGUUUUUAUGGUCUCAUCAUUUCUUUGAUGUAAAAGUGCACACUCCAUCUUUCUGGCAUUUCAUUCAACAGCCUCACACAAGAAAAAAAGAGCCCCACUGUGCAUAAAGAGAAUAAAAUAUGUUCAAGAAGAAACAGGAAAAGAGAUUCAGGUUAAUACGAAGGUCAACCUCUUUCUGUGUUUCAAAUCUGCACUUUGCUGAGAUCUUAAGGAGGGGUAAAAAAAAGCUUUAAUCUUCAGUGCUGUCAUCCUUCUGCUGGAGAACUAAAAUCCAAACAGAAAUGCUUUGGCUGAUGUUAGCGUUGUGAAUUGCUGUUAAAUCUUAAAUCGGUCCCUGAAAUACUGGACCCGACAUGACACUCUGUAUUAAAUAAAACUAAUGCCUCAUGAAGGUUAUCAAUGAUCUCAAAAUGCCAGUCACUUUUCCUACCUCCUCCCCUCAUCCUAUGCAGUGAUGCAGUGGGAGACCCAAUCCCUGCAUCAAACUUUUGGUCCAGGAUGGAGGAGCCAGCCCACCUCCCUGCUUUCCUCUGUAUCUCUGAGCCAAAUCCUAGGAACUGGUCGUAAUCUGAUGCCACCCCAUAAGCAGCAGUUUUCAGGAUCCUCCCCCUCCCAGGUGUGCUCUGGCUGCUUUGCUCUGCCUGGAGGCUGAAGACUAUCCCACAGAGCCAACCAAGCAUGAGAAGCUACCACUGAGAGCACGUGAGCUGACAGGAGAACUGCUAGACAAUUACAGUGCCUACUAUUUAUAACUAUCAAAGCUCGAAGUCAGUUCUCUCGAUCACGUACUGUGGGGCUCAUUUCACCAGCAGUGGUUGAAAGAGUGGGAAAGUCUCCUCUGCCUGACCAUAGGGCAACCACAGGAAGGAGAAAGGCC